CAUCAGCCUCCUGUCAUCUGGCAGGCAGAUUGGGGGCCCGCACCCCCAGGAGGAGUCUGGCACAGUCCCCACAGCCUUCCCAGUGGUGCAGGUGAGACCCCGAUCUGCCUGCCAGAUGACAGGAGGCUGGUG
rnacentral:pre_miRNA from 1 species